GUUUUUCCGUGGCUUAGUCGGGAGAACACCCGACUAUGGUGCGGUAGAACUCGGGUUCGAGCCCCGCUGAAGGCA